AUGAACGCUGGCGGCGUGCUUCACACAUGCCAGUCGCACGAAGCAUUUAAGACAGAUUCCUUCGGUUUGAAGUCUUUUAUGACUGAGUGGCGGACGGGUGAGUAACGCGUGGGUAACCUGCCUCAUACAGGGGGAUAGCAGCUGGAAACGGCUGGUAAUACCGCAUAAGCGCACAGUACCACAUGGUACAGUGUGAAAAACUCCGGUGGUAUGAGAUGGACCCGCGUCUGAUUAGCUUGUUGGCGGGGUAACGGCCCACCAAGGCGACGAUCAGUAGCCGACCUGAGAGGGUGACCGGCCACAUUGGGACUGAGACACGGCCCAGACUCCUACGGGAGGCAGCAGUGGGGAAUAUUGCACAAUGGAGGAAACUCUGAUGCAGCGACGCCGCGUGAGUGAAGAAGUAGUUCGCUAUGUAAAGCUCUAUCAGCAGGGAAGAUAGUGACGGUACCUGACUAAGAAGCUCCGGCUAAAUACGUG
rnacentral:rRNA from 1 species